rnacentral:rRNA from 1 species
AUUGAACGCUGGCGGCAGGCUUAACACAUGCAAGUCGAGCGGAGAUGAGGUGCUUGCACCUUAUCUUAGCGGCGGACGGGUGAGUAAUGCUUAGGAAUCUGCCUAUUAGUGGGGGACAACAUUCCGAAAGGAAUGCUAAUACCGCAUACGCCCUACGGGGGAAAGCAGGGGAUCUUCGGACCUUGCGCUAAUAGAUGAGCCUAAGUCGGAGUAGCUAGUUGGUGGGGUAAAGGCCUACCAAGGCGACGAUCUGUAGCGGGUCUGAGAGGAUGAUCCGCCACACUGGGACUGAGACACGGCCCAGACUCCGACGGGAGGCAGCAGUGGGGAAUAUUGGACAAUGGGCGGAAGCCUGAUCCAGCCAUGCCGCGUGUGUGAAGAAGGCCUUUUGGUUGUAAAGCACUUUAAGCGAGGAGGAGGCUACCUGGAUUAAUACUCUAGGAUAGUGGACGUUACUCGCAGAAUAAGCACCGGCUAACUUUGUGCCAGCCGCCGCCGUAAAAC